ACUAGUUGUUCUAGAAUUACGCAAUCUUAACUUGAAGACAUUUCGUACAAUAUUUAAGGGCACUUCUUAACUCGAUCGGCUAGGUUUGUUCAGAAAAAGUCUGCCAAUAUGAAGGUUCUGAUUUCUUUGCUCUUGUUAGUCGUAGUGGCUGUGGCCCAGAAUCAAGACUGCCCUGCAAACAAAACUUACGGAUCCUUUGGUGAUUGUCCAAUGUCUUGCUAUCUUCUCACCCCUCGUGACCCCGAACCAUGCACCAUGAGAAUGAACUGGGGCUGCAAAUGCCAAGAAGGUUAUGUCCUGCUGGAACACAAGGUGUUCAGUUCGAAAUGCAUUAAACCGGAAGACUGUCCUGCAGAAUCCUAAGAUGACACAAACAUUACUCAAGAAUGAAAUAUCAAUACCUGCUGGAAUUUGCUUAUCUGGAGAAAUUGGAUGAAAAAAAAUUUCAUAUGUCUGUAUUAAUUUCAUUGAAUUCUGUCAUAUUUUGUUGUUUGCAUUUCCCUUAAUAAAAGUACGUUCUAGACAUUA